rnacentral:rRNA from 1 species
GAAAGGGCGGCGUGCUAUACAUGCAGCUAGAACGAACUCUGGUAUUGAUUGGUGCUUGCAUCAUGAUUUACAUUUGAGUGAGGGGCGAACUGGAGAGUAACACGUGGCAAACCUGCCCAGAAGCGGGGGAUAACACCCGGAAACAGAUGCUAAUACCGCAUAACAAAUGGGACCGCAUGGUCCGAGUUAGAAAGAUGGCUUCGGCUAUCACUUUUGGAAUGGUCCCGCGGCGUAUUAAAUUAGAAGGGGGGGAAACGGCUCACCAGGGCAAUGAAACGUAGCCGACCUGAGAGGGUAAUCGGCCACAUUGGGGACUGAGACACGGCCCAAACUCCUAGCGGGAGGCAGCAGUAGGGAAUCUUCCACAAUGGACGAAAGUCUGAUGGAGCAACGCCGCGUGAAUGAAGAAGGGUUUCGGCUCGUAAAACUCUGUUGUUAAAGAAGAACAUAUCUGAGAGUAACUGUUCAGGUAUUGACGGUAUUUAACCAGAAAGCCACGGCUAACUACGUGCCAGCAGCCGCGGUAAUACGUAGGUGGCAAGCGUUGUCCGGAUUUAUUGGGCGUAAAGCGAGCGCAGGCGGUUUUUUAAGUCUGAUGUGAAAGCCUUCGGCUCAACCGAAGAAGUGCAUCGGAAACUGGGAAACUUGAGUGCAGAAGAGGACAGUGGAACUCCAUGUGUAGCGGUGAAAUGCGUAGAUAUAUGGAAGAACACCAGUGGCGAAAGCGGCUGUCUGGUCUGUAACUGACGCUGAGGCUCGAAAGUAUGGGUAGCAAACAGGAUUAGAUACCCUGGUAGUCCAUACCGUAAACGAUGAAUGCUAAGUGUUGGAGGGUUUCCGCCCUUCAGUGCUGCAGCUAACGCAUUAAGCAUUCCGCCCGGGGGAGUACGGCCGCAAGGCUGAAACUCAAAGGAAUUGACGGGGGCCCGCACAAGCGGUGGAACCAGGUGGUUUAAUUCGAAGCUACGCGAAGAACCUUACCAGGUCUUGACAUACUAUGCAAAUCCUAAGAGAUUAAAACGUUCCCUUCGGGGAAAUGGAAACAGGGGGGGCGAAGGGUUGUCCCCACCCCCGGGCCGUGAAAAAAUGUUGGGUUAAAUCCCCCAACGAGCGCAACCCUUAUUAUCAGUUGCCACCAUUAAGUUUGGGGCACCCCGGUGAGACUGCCGGUGACAAACCGGAGGAAGGUGGGGAUGACGUCAAAUCAUCAUGCCCCUUAUGACCUGGGCUACACACGUGCUACAAUGGAUGGUACAACGAGUUGCGAACUCGCGAGAGUAAGCUAAUCUCUUAAAGCCAUUCUCAGUUCGGAUUGUAGGCUGCAACUCGCCUACAUGAAGUCGGAAUCGCUAGUAAUCGCGGAUCAGCAUGCCGCGGUGAAUACGUUCCCGGGCCUUGUACACACCGCCCGUCACACCAUGAGAGUUUGUAACACCCAAAGUCGGUGGGGUAACCUUUUAGGAACCAGCCGCUAAGUGCCUUCUAAUUA